rnacentral:rRNA from 1 species
AUUGAACGCUGGAGGCAGGCCUAACACAUGCAAGUCGAGCGGAGCGGCGGACGGGUGAGUACUGCCUAGGAAUCUGCCUGGUAGUGGGGGAUAACGUCCUGAAAAGGGCGCUAAUACCGCAUACUGUCAGAUGAGCCUAGGUCGGAUUAGCUAGUUGGGGGGGGAAAGGCAUACAAAGGCGACGAUCCGUAACUGGUCUGAGAGGAUGAUCAGUCAGACUUGAACUUAGACACGGUCCAGACUCCUACGGGAUGCAGCAGUGGGGAAUAUUGGACAAUGGGCGAAAUCCUGAUCCCGCCGUGCCGCGUGUGGGAAGAAGGUCUUCGGAUUGUGAAGCACUUUAAGUUGGUGGGCGUUACCAACAGAAUAAGCACCGGCUAACUUCGUGCCAGCAGCCGCGGUAAUUC